ensembl:piRNA 21ur-8021 ncRNA
UCUUUCUCCUACAUUUUAAUC